GCCUUCCAUGAAGUCGGAAUUGCUAGUAAUGGCAGGUCAGCAUACUGCCGUGAAUACGUUCCCGGGCCCUUGUACACACCGCCCGUCACACCAUGAGAGUUGGAGAUACCCGAAGCCUAUGAGCUAACUUUUAGAGGCAGUAGUCGAAGGUAGAAUCAAUGAUUGGGGUGAAGUCGUAACAAGGUAAC
rnacentral:rRNA from 1 species